CCGUACUUUAAACAAGCUAGGCUUUGAGCAGGUGAGGAUAGGAAUCAUAUCAGAGAUAAAUGUCCCUGGCCCAGCUCUGAGGAGCUUCCUAUGUGACUGUGACCCCUUCGUGCAUCUCUAGCCACUGUAGACAAUACCCUCUCAUCACUUCCCUGAAAGUGAUGCCCUUUCCUGAAAGCCAGCAUGCCCCCCAGCAAGGCAUGGAAAGCGCUGAUUCUGCAUAAUGCUGAGAAGGGGUGCACACCUCAGUGUUCAGACCAGCCUGGGGCACUGGCUACUGGAGAAACAGU
rnacentral:lncRNA from 1 species